UGGACAGUAAGGGAACGCAGAAAAAGAAAAGAAAGAAAAACGACUCCAGCUCUUCCUUGGUGACACAAUCUUGAUUAAGAUCAAAAGCUUACAAGCCAAGUUCAUGAGAUUGUGGGACGCAUUAAUGGGAGAUUUGGAACUCUUACUGCUGUUCCCAUACACCAUCUGGAGCGAUCUCUUGACUUUCACACAUUGUGCGCUCUGUAUGCUGUUACUGGUACUCAUUUUUGUUUUGUAACAAAACCGUUAAUCAAUUUUGUCUUAGAUAAGUAAAUUGUUCCUAGAUUGCCUAGUUUGUAGUGAUUCCUAUGGUAACUCAAUCAUGUAAUACAUUAAUAUGGUGAAACAACAGAAGGCAAUUGUGCCUUCAAUUAAUUAAUUUUGUUUACCAUGAGUAA